rnacentral:rRNA from 1 species
GGGGAAUCUUGCACAAUGGGGGAAACCCUGAUGCAGCGACGCCGCGUGAACGAUGAAGCCCUUCGGGGUGUAAAGUUCUUUCGACAGGAACGAUAAUGACGGUACCUGGAGAAGAAGCUGCGGCUAACUACGUGCCAGCAGCCGCGGUAAUACGUAGGCAGCGAGCGGUGUUCGGAGUUACUGGGCGUAAAGAGUGCGUAGGCGGCGAGCCAAGUUUGGUGUGAAAUCUCCCGGCUUAACCGGGAGGGUGCGCCGAAAACUGGUUGGCUGGAGUAUGGGAGAGGAAAGCGGAAUUCCUGGUGUGGCGGUGAAAGGCGUAGAUAUCAGGAGGAACACCUGCGGUGUAGACAGCUUUCUGGACCAAAACUGACGCAGAGGCACGAAAGCGUGGGUAGCAAACA